rnacentral:lncRNA from 1 species
UCCAGAUGACCACACACACUGGGGUCCUGCUAGGCCCACUAUCUCUGAUCUCACUGUCUCUGGGCUUCUCUUUCAAACCCAAACACAAGUUAAUGCAGGAGCUUUGGAUAAAGUGGUAUGUUAAUUUUGACUGUCAAUUUACUUUGGACUAUUAACUGAGUUAUAUUGUUGUUAAUUAGUUGAAUUAUUCAAGGUCACAGAGUAACUAUUAGAGUAAUAAUUUAGUCCUAAGGAUGAGCUGACAUAUUUUUUUCUUUAGGGGACGAGGCUACAGCUACAUUCUCAGCGAUGACCUUAUCUCGCUCCCAUCUUCCCUCAUAGCGGCCCUCAUAACGAGGGCGUGGUAUAUGUAUCUGUAUGUACGUGUGUCGAGGCAUGUUGUCAGCACUUACAAUCUCUUAAGAGAGACUUGGACACUAAUGAUGACAAUGCCAGGCGGCAAGGCGUAAUUGGCAUGUCUGAAGUUACACACACACACACACACACACGCACACACACACUUAGCCUAAACAGCCACUGAUGCCAGUCCCAUAAUAUGAACCCACCCAUAGAUGCAUGGCUACAAAUACCCUCCACACUGGACAAGAGCUCAUAAGACACAGACCUUCCCCAAUAAUCGGCUUUGAGGACAGAACUCCACAGAGAAAACAGAAGAUUUAAGAUGCUUUGCUCCGCCUGUGUGCUAUCUUUCCUGGCUCUUUACAUGUUGCCAGAGGAGACGUCUUCUGCUGUAUUGCCAAGCAGAUUCAGAGACAAAAGGGAAGUGAACUGGCCAGAACAAGAGCUCUUCCCCCUCCUGCAUGAUCGCUCAGACCAGGGAGACCUGUCUGUGGGUGACGAUGGGGAGAUGGACAGGGAUGUGCCCCCUCAUUCAGAGACAUUCCUCGCCCCAACAGAGCACCUUUCUCCCCAAAGGAAGAGCCAACACCAGAACCACCGUAAAGCCCAUGAAAAGAGGAGGAAGGUUGCUCCUCUGGACUCAAUCAGCAGCUUUCAAAUGUCCAGUUUCCGAAACAGAAAGGAUGAACCUGAAGAAGAAAACAAGGAAUAA